rnacentral:rRNA from 1 species
CUAAGCCUAGAUAUCCUGAACAUACCAAAUUCCAUUGGAUCUUGGAAGUUAAGCAGGGUCAGCCCUGGAAAGUAUUUGGAUGGGAAACCACUAAGGUAUACCAAGCAUUGGUUGUAU